UAUAUACUAUUAUAGAAGUAUUUAUAUUGUCUUUUCAAUAUGUUUGGAAUUGUAUCCACAAAUACAGUCAGAGCUUCCCAUUUCUAGUUGCAAAAGGUUUGUCCUAAACUCAAUCGACAUCACUUAUGUUUUAGAAGUCUGGUGAGAUGGGCAUUAUAGAUACAAUAUUAGCAUUUAAGGAAAUACUUAAGGGAGAUGGACAGAGAAAGAGACAGCUGGUGUAAUCAAUUACUCUGCUCAAUUCUGCUUCAGUUUUUAUGUUGUGUUUCUUCUUAAGGUGAAAUAGCAUAAUCUUAAUUUCUUAGAGAUGAAGUUUCUAAGUAACACACUACCAGCAGGUUCAACAUUGCUAGUAAUUUUAAUGUUUUUUCUGUUCAUUUGAUAACUUUAAUUCCAAGUUUUACAAUAAUAUCUAUAUAUUAUUUGGCUGCUGAAUCCUGUUACAGUUUUUUUUUUUUUUAAUUCUGUUGUACAUUAUAUUAUACACAUCAUUACAAAUUAACAUGAAGGGGAAUAUAUAUUACAUAUCAAAAAUUGUGAAUUUGAACUCUAGUAUGUGUUAGUGCUUUUGCAAAAAUGUUUAUUUUUAUAAUAUCUGUGAUUUUAAUAUAGGUAAUUGAACUAGAUUUCUUUGUGAUGAAUAGUGCCAUUGAAUGACUGGUAUGGAAACAGUGUUACUUGACAUUUUGUGCUUUCUCAGGUUUAUCUAUAUCAAUGGUAGCUUAACAGAUUCCAGACUAAUUGUGCAUAAUUGUGUUUUACAAGGAAUGUACAUUUCCUAUAAGUUUGCAUGCAGGAGUGUACAACUUGGAGUGUGUGUGUGUGUGUUCACAGCAUGGCAGCCAACUUUGUAUCUGCUGUUGAUAAUAACAGCAGAGCUUUGGUAUAAUCGUGGUCAUUAGAAUUAUACCUACCAUAGACAAUGAAAACCGAAAAAGUCUCAAUAAAACUAUGAAAUGUG
rnacentral:lncRNA from 1 species